rnacentral:rRNA from 1 species
AUGCAUAGGAAUCUACCUAGUAGUAUGGGAUAGCCACUGGAAAUGGUGGGUAAUACCGUAUAAUCCCCGCGGGGGAAAGAUUUAUCGCUAUUAGAUGAGCCUAUGUCGGAUUAGCUAGUUGGUGGGGUAAUGGCCUACCAAGGCAGUGAUCUGUAGCUGGUCUGAGAGGAUGAUCAGCCACACCGGAACUGAGACACGGUCCAGACUCCUACGGGAGGCAGCAGUGGGGAAUAUUGGACAAUGGGCGCAAGCCUGAUCCAGCUAUGCCGCGUGAGUGAGGAAGGCCUUAGGGUUGUAAAACUCUUUCAGUAGGGAAGAUAAUGACGGUACCUA